AAAGGUGCUGGCGGCGCCGGCCGGAGACAAGUACGCCGGCUUCGCGCGCUCCCCAGCGGCCUGCGGGAGGCGACGGACGGCGGGACAGACAGACGGACGGACGGACGGCAGCUUACCGGGGCUUAGGGCCGCACCCGCGACGCGCGCGGGCUCCGACGGGCAAGCGGCGGACGGGGGCUCCGGGGAGCCCGCGGGGCCCGGGCGUCCUCUCCACUCCGGGGCGCACGGUCUCACCCCGCACACCCCCUGCACCCGCCGGGCAUGCAGCGGCCCCAGGACUGAGGGGCGGAGGCUUCUGCUCUCCGGAUUCCGCUCGGCCCCUGCCCGACACUCCCGGCCGUGCUCCCGGCGUCCGGCGGGCUUCCCGGCGGCGGCGCGGCGCGGGGACUUUUCGCCUCUCGCUGGCCUCUCCCGAGCGCGUCUAUGAGCGCAGCGUUCCCGCCGUCGCUGAUGAUGAUGCAGCGCCCGCUGGGGAGUAGCACCGCCUUCAGCAUAGACUCGCUGAUCGGCAGCCCGCCGCAGCCCAGCCCAGGCCAUUUCGUCUACACCGGCUACCCCAUGUUCAUGCCCUACCGGCCGGUAGUGCUGCCGCCGCCGCCGCCGCCGCCGCCCGCGCUGCCCCAGGCCGCGCUGCAGCCAGCGCUGCCGCCCGCACACCCUCACCACCAGAUCCCCAGCCUGCCCACCGGCUUCUGCUCCAGCCUGGCGCAGGGCAUGGCGCUCACCUCUACGCUCAUGGCCACGCUCCCCGGCGGCUUCUCCGCGUCGCCCCAGCACCAGGAGGCGGCAGCGGCCCGCAAGUUCGCGCCGCAGCCGCUGCCCGGCGGCGGUAACUUCGACAAGGCGGAGGCGCUGCAGGCUGACGCGGAGGACGGCAAAGGCUUCCUGGCCAAAGAGGGCUCGCUGCUCGCCUUCUCCGCGGCCGAGGCGGUGCAGGCUUCGCUUGUCGGGGCUGUCCGAGGGCAAGGGAAAGACGAGUCAAAGGUGGAAGACGACCCGAAGGGCAAGGAGGAGAGCUUCUCGCUGGAAAGCGAUGUGGACUACAGCUCGGAUGACAAUCUGACUGGCCAGGCAGCUCACAAGGAGGAAGACCCGGGCCACACACUGGAGGAGACCCCGCCGAGCAGCGGCGCGGCGGGCAGCACCACGUCUACGGGCAAGAACCGGCGGCGGCGGACUGCCUUCACCAGCGAGCAGCUGCUGGAGCUGGAGAAGGAGUUCCACUGCAAAAAGUACCUCUCCUUGACCGAGCGCUCGCAGAUCGCCCACGCCCUCAAACUCAGCGAGGUGCAGGUGAAAAUCUGGUUCCAGAACCGACGGGCCAAGUGGAAACGAGUGAAGGCGGGCAAUGCCAAUUCCAAGACAGGGGAGCCCUCCCGGAACCCUAAGAUCGUCGUCCCCAUCCCCGUCCACGUCAGCAGGUUCGCUAUCAGAAGUCAGCAUCAGCAGCUAGAGCAGGCCCGGCCCUGAGGGUCCAGAAGGGCCAGGGCCUGGCACCCACCUGGAGAAGCCCCCGCACCCAAGGGGACCCAUGGUGGACUCCACUGUGUUUGAAGCAACAAAGUCACAGCCCAAUUGCGGCCAUCCUAAGCAAAUUGAGAAUAUAUUCACUAAAUGGGCUUAAAAGACUGCUUUUGAAGGGGCUUACAGCCACACCAGAAGACACGCUAAAUAUUUAUUAUACUAUCCUACUUUGUACAUAAAUAUCUCUAUAGACUGGAUCUCAGCUGCAGUAUUUUGAAAGUUAUAGGACUUAAUUACCCAGUCAUGUUCUCCACUCAUUCCAGAAGAAAACAAAACCUCUGCUGUAAUAUGUGCCGUUAGCAGCCACCUUUCCAUACUUUUCCAAAGGCCGUCACCUCCCCACGCUGGAGGGGCCUGGGGACCAAGACCUCCACCCAAACUUCAGGCGCAGGGUGAAGGCUGGGAGCGACCGAGUCACCCUUUCCGCCGCGUUCCCAACAGUUCCGGUGGCAGAAAAUGGCCCGGGCUUGGUUUUAGAGCCCAGUAAAAUAGAAGGGCCAGUCCUCCGAGGGCCUCGGCCGGCUCUGCGGGGCGCCGAGAGCUGCAGAGGCUCUUGGCCGCGCCCCGCCCAGCGCCACGAAGCCUGACAGGGAGGGGAUGGCUCCCGGGUCGUGCCCUGGCCUGGCGCGGGGGCCGCAAGGCCCGGAUCCCACCUGCCAGGACGCGCACAGCGCAGGUCGCCGGUGAGCGCCAUCUGCUCGGGGCAGGUCCCCGCUGGCCACACGACGCUGCUGCAGCAUUCGAGGCCCGCAGGGACGUCGUUCCCCGACCCACACACCUGAGCCAGUCUGCCCGUGGCUGGGGGCGAAGAGUUUAGCCGGGAAGGUGGAGGAGCUGCGGCCUCUGCCCCGCCAGCACUGCGGGUCGGGGGAAGAGACCCUGGGACUCCCCGCAGAUCCUGGAGUGCCCCCGACAUCCCCUUCCACCGUAACAAGUGUAACCCCCACCUGCCUUCUCCAAAAGCCCAUGGCAGGCUUGAGGGGCAGAGGGACUGGAAGCCUUGACCGCGCAAACCCGGCGGGAAAGCGAAACCCACUAGGAACUGGAGGCUGCCGUCAGGAAGUCCCGCUCCUGGGACCGAGCUCCGGGCCCUCCCAGCCUCGAGGUCCUCGCCCUAUGGAGACAAGAGGAGGAGAGGGCUCGAGCUGGCCGACGCCGCCCGCCCUCCUGCUCCUCGGGGUGCUGACCCCCUACCUCCCCAACCCCUGAGCGCCGGGGCGCCCCCGAGAGCCCGGCAGGGAGGCCAAGGCCCGGGAGACAGGCCGAGGGGAGGAAGAUAAACAAGCGGCGCUUGAUGGCCGCUGUCAUCAUGGCCGUCAUCAUGGCUUUCAUUUGGCUGCCUAAUGAGUCACAUCACAGGCAGAGAGAAAAAUUGUCAAUCGCCCGGGCCCUAAUGAAUUUUUUUGCAAAUUGUAAUCAAGCCAGGCCGUCUCAGCUGGCUGAUUAAUGAGACCCACGAGGCUCGGCCAGCACCUCCGCUUUUUAUUCCAUCCCGUCCUCCCUGCACUAAAUUAACAGCAACUUGUCUGCGCUUCAAAUUAACUCCCAAUGAUUAAUUCUGAUGGGGGGGGCCUGAAGAAUAGCUUGUUCUAAUAGGCUCUGGCCUGAGAUGCUGUUAGAAAUUAAUACACUUCCCCUUUGGCUGCCGGCUUUAAUCCAAGGUUGGGUUUUGACAUCACUAUAUUUGUUGUUACAAUAAAUUCCACUUACAUCUGCAGAUCAAAUAAUUACGCUUGGGAGCUCCUUGGACCUGCGCCCCUAGCCAUGCACUGCCAUGCCUCAGGGCUGCUUGCACCCCGCAGCCACCGACCUAGGCAGAGGUCGGAGGAGGGCCACAGGAACAGUCACUCCACCCAGUGACUGCCCUUGCUCCCUGGCAAGUCAGACACCCCUGCCCCCGUGGAGAACCAAAGGUAUGCUGAAAAUCCGCAGCCAUCUCCCAGUUCGUGGGGCAGGGCCCUCUUUAGCUUGGUCCUGGGCAUCAAGCAACUUCCUCUUCCAGGAGGAUCCCAGGACUAUCUUCCCAGCAGCCAAGACCACCUGCACUGGAGGCUGCUCAAAUCCCAACCUGCUCUGGAAUUUUCGAGAUUUAGUGCAUGCUUGUGCAUCCAGCCUUUGCCUCCUAUCUUCAGCCCCCUGGGUGGCUCUUUCA